GUGGCAAUACAAAGAUGUGAAUAGAUGAAUAAGAUUCUCAACCUUGGUCACAGUAGUUUUAACGUCAUCAUCAAAUUAAUGUGAUUAGGAGCAGUCUUCUCUAGGAAGAUUGGCUUAUCAGGUUUGCUAAUCUACAGAAAGUCAAGUCUCAAGUUACUGUACUUACUCUCCUUUGAGAUACUUUUUAAUUGAAGUCACUUGGCUAACCUGAUGAUUCAUACUUCUUUUAGUAACGAGAUUGAUGAUCAUCAAUUUAGUUAAUGACAUUUUUAUAGCAAGAAUGUGGAAAUUGUGUUGCUUAAUAUUUAUCACUAAAAAUUAAUUUAAA
rnacentral:lncRNA from 1 species